rnacentral:lncRNA from 1 species
UUCUUUUGUUUUUUGUCUUUCCAAGGAUGACAUUACAGGUAAUACAAGCGAGGACAGCUAUGAUGAAAACACCAGUUCUGCAAUGGAGCUGCGUUCUUCAUCUCAGACAGAGAGGCACUCAAAUGCAUCUUUUGGCAGUUUGACCAGUCCGAUUGAUGCCGCUCCAUCAAAUUCUACUCCAGUUGUUCUACCUGUGUCAGUGCCCUCGUCUAGCCACAGCAGCAUGUCAGCAAGUGGUUCCUCAAGUCAGCUGCAGGUGUCUUCAGUGGAAAACUGCUAUACUGCCAUUCAGCCUUCUGCCACAUCUUUUGAAGGAAUAUCUUUAGUUGAUUCACCUCUGGUCUUGUCCGGCCAAAGUAGGUCAAGCCCUCUCAAUCACAGCAGCAAUUUACAAAGUACUUGUUCUGCAGUACCAUCCACUUCCUCCACCUCAGCAUAUCAUAAUUCGGUAAACUAUGAUGGCUACCUUACAGUAAUAGGUGCACUGUCUGAUGUGUCUUCUGAAGAUGAGGAAAUGCACCAGGCUAUCCUAGCAAGCUUGCAGAGUGAGAGAAGGACCACAGGAUGUUCUGUGCCAGUGAGAGAUAUUUUGCAAGACCUUGCAACUCAAAUUAACCAUCAGAAGAAAUGCAAGUUUAACAUUAACCGGUCAUCAGUGCUGGAUGGAGCUAUUAGAGGUUUUAAACGAGGGACAUACAAUCCAUGUCACACCAUUUCUGUCAGAUUUUCUGAUGACAUGGGAGUAGCAGAAGAGGCUGUGGACUUAGGUGGACCAAGGAGAGAAUUUCUAAGACUUCUAAUGGAUGCUUUGUCCAAGUCUCAAAUGUUUGAGGGAGAAGAAGGGAAAAUGAACUUGGCUUUUGACAGUAACGGUAUGUAUAGAUUGUAGCAUAUCAUUGAUGAGAUUCACAUAAUAACCACAAUUUGUGCCUACAUUUUGGUACUAUGAAAUAGGUUUUUGUCAUUGAAUGCUUGAAUACACUAUUACUUAUGUGUAAUUUCUUUUCUCUAGCCAUGAGGGAGGACAGGUACUUAGUUGCAGGCAGGGCCAUUGCUGUAAGCCUUGUUCACGGCGGUCCUCCUGCACGUUUUCUUUCCCCAACUCUCUUCUCUUGCCUUGUUGAGGGCCCGGAAAUGGCUAAACCAGUUUUGGAAGAUGUUGCUGAUAGUGACCUGCAUGAAAAAAUUAAAAGGGUAUCUCACUUUUAGUUUAUGUUGUGCUGUAUAAUAUGUGUGCCUUUUUUAUACAACACAUUUUUGUAUGCAUGUGUGUCUUGAAAGGUCAUGGAGUGUGAAACUUUUGAAGACCUCCUAGCAACAACAGCACCACUUGAGGAGUAUUUGGCCAAUGCGGGCUGCUUGAGACAGUUGCGGAGUUUGGAAGACAAAUAUCUGCUUGCAGAAGACAUCCUAAUGUUUCAAGUGAUACACAGAGUCCGUG